rnacentral:rRNA from 3 species
UAGGGAUACCCGCUGAACUUAAGCAUAUCAAUAAGCGGAGGAAA